GAAAAUUUUAAACUUACUGUUCAUGGAAAUCCAGCAUUGGUGGCUCAAAUCGUAUAGGUCUGCAAUUACCCCGGUACAGAGAUAUACUAAAUGAGAAUCUAUUCCCCAAGUUGCAAAUGGAAGCAUCUAAAGUGGUCAGGAAGACCAACCUGCAACUAUCCAUGGACAUGGCACUUAUUGUGAAAAUCCCAGAACACAGCAGUGAGGAUGAAGAACCCUCCUGGACCACAGAGACUGAAAAGGACUACAUUAGAAAGAACACACAGGUAACUAAACAGAAUUAGAAAAAAAAUGCCUGAAUGAAAUGAGAAGUUCAACAAAGAAACAAACUAUAAAAAAACAACAACAACCAAACAGAAAUCCUAAAGAUAAAGAAUAUAAUAAUUGGACUGAAGAAUUCAACAGAGAGCUUCAGCAACAGAUCUGACCAUCAGAAGAAAGAAUCAAUGAACUGAAAGCUGAAUUUUGAAAUCUCCAACUAUAAUUGUGAAUUUGCCUUCAUUUCUGUUUUUUUCAUUUACUUGGAACAAAUAUUUGG